CGCCUGGGGAGUACGGGUGAGGUAACGGCUCACCAAGGCAUCGACGGGUAGCUGGUCUGAGAGGAUGAUCAGCCACACUGGGACUGAGACACGGCCCAGACUCCUACGGGAGGCAGCAGUGGGGAAUAUUGCACAAUGGGCGAAAGCCUGAUGCAGCAACGCCGCGUGCGGGAUGAAGGCCCUAGGGUUGUAAACCGCUUUCAGCAGGGAAGAAAAUGACGGUACCUGUAGAAGAAGGUGCGGCCAACUACGUGCCAGCAGCCGCGGUGACACGUAGGCACCAAGCGUUGUCCGGAUUUAUUGGGCGUAAAGAGCUCGUAGGCGGUUCAGUAAGUCGGGUGUGAAAACUCUGGGCUCAACCCAGAGACGCCACCCGAUACUGCUGUGACUAGAGUGCGGUAGGGGAGCGGGGAAUUCCUAGUGUAGCGGUGAAAUGCGCAGAUAUUAGGAGGAACACCAGUGGCGAAGGCGCCGCUCUGGGCCGUAACUGACGCUGAGGAGCGAAAGCGUGGGUAGCAAACAGGAUUAGAUACCCUGGUAGUCCACGCCGUAAACGUUGGGCACUAGGUGUGGGUCUCAACCAACGAGAUCCGCGCCGUCGCUAACGCAUUAAGUGCCCCGCCUGGGGAGUACGG
rnacentral:rRNA from 1 species